AGCAGAUCUGACAAACAAUUUGUAGAGGAUACUGAACAGAUUGACAUGUUCAAAUUCAGUUGAAGUUCAGGCCUAUAAAUCUUGUCUGCUGGAAACGUGCAGUUUGUUUGGAGUUCAUGGAAAAGGUUAGACAUGUGGAAAGUUGCAACGGUUUUGAAUUUAGAAAUCAGUUGAUCCAAUCCUUAUUGAAGUUUAUCGCGUUCUUGUAUGUUAACUCCAGUUGAGACUUUUGAUCUGUAUUUCAUGUCUAGUAAUUUCUAUUACAGGCUGAUGUUCUGGAAUAUUAUGAUUAGACUGUGAACUCUUGUCAAUGGAUCAUUCUAUAUACCUGAUGUUUUAAGGGUAAUUUGUUGUUAAA